CAACCAUGGCUUCCUCUAAGCAGCUGUUAUUGAUGCCCACAAUGCAGGCUUAAGGAGCAUGUCACUCUUCCACACAUGAGAAGUCAACUGGAAGGCUGAACCCCAACUAUCAACCCAGUUCAAACCACAACACAGGAGAGAAGCAAACCUGGUCAAGUGAAAACUGUGCCAGAUAGCUUGACAAGCAGAUACUGUAUUUCCUGCUCACAGUCCUUCAUCAUUUCAGCUUCUCUCCCUCCUUCUAUCAAAGUGCAUUAUUCACAUCAAUACCUCUACGGGAGCAGGACUGAAUUGUUGUACGAACCACAGCAGUUCAGUGUCACAUAAGUUCAUUGAUCCCCAGAGGUAGCGAUGCCUGGAUGGAGCAGGCCCAGAACUGCAGUGUUGAAAAAGAACUGACAAAAUACUUCUUGGGAUGGCUGUUUCCUCAUAACUAAUAGUGGUAGUGUUAAUAGUUGUAUAUUGCUGCUGUUGGAUUUGCCUACAGAGAUCAAUAGAUAAAUAAACAUACAGUAUAUAGUACAAAUUUUACUAUCAAUUGAUAGCUCUAAAGAAUUAUACUAUACUAUCAGCAGUAUCUGUAUUACUCUCAUGGAUGCAUGUGGAGUAGUACUCCAGGGAAAGAUAAUCAUUUUAAUUUCUGAUUUCUUUUCUUUGAUCACUUCAUUUUAAAAGUAUUCAGUACAAUCAGGCCAACAGUCAAGUUCAUACUGACCUACCACUUCCAAUGAAAUGUUUUUUUUAAAAAACAAGACACAGCUGUAUUUUUUUCUCAGUUUAAAAACUAGUGCAGUUGAUGGCAAGUAAAACUUUGUAUCUCUGUUAUUUGCUUUUGUUCACCAUAGAAACUCUUAGUGUAGUCGUGUAGUUAGUGUGCAAGUUGUGUUAGGUUGGCAUAGAAGGAAAUAGUUGUUAAUAGUGUCAGGUUGAGUGAGAAAUGUUGAAA